rnacentral:rRNA from 1 species
GACGAACGCUGGCGGCGUGCUUAACACAUGCAAGUCGAACGGAAAGGCCCUGCUUUUGUGGGGUGCUCGAGCGGCGAACGGGUGAGUAACACGUGAGUAACCUGCCCUUGACUUUGGGAUAACUUCAGGAAACUGAGGCUAAUACCGGAUAGGAGCUCCUGCUGCAUGGUGGGGGUUGGAAAGUUUCGGCGGUUGGGGAUGGACUCGCGGCUUAUCAGCUUGUUGGUGGGGUAGUGGCUUACCAAGGCUUUGACGGGUAGCCGGCCUGAGAGGGUGACCGGCCACAUUGGGACUGAGAUACGGCCCAGACUCCUACGGGAGGCAGCAGUGGGGAAUAUUGCACAAUGGGCGGAAGCCUGAUGCAGCAACGCCGCGUGCGGGAUGACGGCCUUCGGGUUGUAAACCGCUUUCGCCUGUGACGAAGCGUGAGUGACGGUAAUGGGUAAAGAAGCACCGGCUAACUACGUGCCAGCAGCCGCGGUGAUACGUAGGGUGCGAGCGUUGUCCGGAUUUAUUGGGCGUAAAGGGCUCGUAGGUGGUUGAUCGCGUCGGAAGUGUAAUCUUGGGGCUUAACCCUGAGCGUGCUUUCGAUACGGGUUGACUUGAGGAAGGUAGGGGAGAAUGGAAUUCCUGGUGGAGCGGUGGAAUGCGCAGAUAUCAGGAGGAACACCAGUGGCGAAGGCGGUUCUCUGGGCCUUUCCUGACGCUGAGGAGCGAAAGCGUGGGGAGCGAACAGGCUUAGAUACCCUGGUAGUCCACGCUGUAAACGGUGGGUACUAGGUGUGGGGUCCAUUCCACGGGUUCCGUGCCGUAGCUAACGCUUUAAGUACCCCGCCUGGGGAGUACGGCCGCAAGGCUAAAACUCAAAGGAAUUGACGGGGCCCCACACAAGCGGCGGAGCAUGCGGAUUAAUUCGAUGCAACGCGUAGAACCUUACCUGGGUUUGACAUGGAUCGGGAGCGCUCAGAGAUGGGUGUGCCUCUUUUGGGGUCGGUUCACAGGUGGUGCAUGGCUGUCGUCAGCUCGUGUCGUGAGAUGUUGGGUUAAGUCCCGCAACGAGCGCAACCCUUGUUCACUGUUGCCAGCACGUUAUGGUGGGGACUCAGUGGAGACCGCCGGGGUCAACUCGGAGGAAGGUGGGGAUGACGUCAAGUCAUCAUGCCCCUUAUGUCCAGGGCUUCACGCAUGCUACAAUGGCUGGUACAGAGAGUGGCGAGCCUGUGAGGGUGAGCGAAUCUCGGAAAGCCGGUCUCAGUUCGGAUUGGGGUCUGCAACUCGACCUCAUGAAGUCGGAGUCGCUAGUAAUCGCAGAUCAGCAACGCUGCGGUGAAUACGUUCCCGGGGCU